rnacentral:rRNA from 1 species
CAGCAGCCACGGGAAUACGUAGGGUGCAAGCGUUAAUCGGAAUUACUGGGCGUAAAGCGUGCGCAGGCGGUUUGUUAGGGCAGAUGUGAAAUCCCCGGGCUCAACCUGGGAACUGCAUUUGUGACUGGCAAGCUAGAGUAUGGCAGAGGGGGGUGGAAUUCCGCGUGUAGCAGUGAAAUGCGUAGAUAUGCGGAGGAGCACCGAUGGCGAAGGCAGCCCCCUGGGCCAAUACUGACGCUCAUGCACGAAAGCGUGGGGAGCAAACAGGAUUAGAUACCCCCGUAGUCCCUGUCUCUUAUAC